rnacentral:lncRNA from 1 species
UCUCUUCACAAUCUGAGCUGGACCUCCAGCUAAGUCAUGGGUAGAGGCAGGAAUAGAGGACACCAAACAAACCCAAACUCUAGUGGAACCAUCUUAACACUGAGCAGGAACACCACACCUUCAAUCUAGAAAGAGGGCAAAUUCAAGUUUUGAUUUACACAGCUGGUUGUGGGAAGGUAUGGUUCAUCACUCUGCUACCAUGGUUGGGGGAAGAAGCUAAAAGUUGGCUGAUGCCAACUCCUUUCCUCGCUUUUCAGCCUCACUGUUUCUCUAUGCAUGUGUCUCUGCAAACCUUGAAAUUAAUGCAUCCCUAAGGAAAGUGAAUGGGGGUAACAGGGUUUUUUGAUUUCUGGGGAAUUUCUCCAGGAGCAGCCAUGGGGAAUCAGGGCCUCUGGUGCUGGCAGAGUGCAGCCAAGGCAAUCUGGGCUCUGGGUGUGCCUUGCAGCUCUCUCUCUUGGAGCUGCAUCACAAGAGCCUGGGGAGCAUUAGGCAGCCAUGUGAGGCUCUGGAUGAUUCUCUGGCUGCCAGUAACCUCAUGCCCUUGAGGCGGAAGAAUAGAAGUUUUGGCAGUUAGGGAAUAUUUUAUUCAAUAGUAAAAUCUCUAAAGUGGAACCAGCUACCCUAGUGAGAGGGGAGGGUGGUCUGGAUGAGAUAAUUCUUUCUGAAAGUGUUUGCUGGGUAAAGUUUCCUAUGUAAUCUUGUUUUUUGUUUAUUUGCUUGAUGGGUGAAGAGAUUGGGAUGGAGCUGUGUCACCAAAUCUACAAAACUAUUACAGAAUUAACUUAAUUAGCUUUGCUCUUUCCCUUUGUGAACCUUUGCAAUGCACUUUAAGUUAUAAUAGAAUGUUUUAAAGACAAUUACAGGAUAGUUUCCUCACAGGAAACCUGAGGUUUUCUUGAUCGAUUUUGUUUCUAUAUAUAAAAAGAUUGACUUUAAACAUACCAAUGUGUAUAUAUUUGUGAGUUAGGCUCUUCUAAGUGGAGACCAGAUGUAUAAUUUCAUAAUUCAUUGAGAAUAACUUUGUUUAGAUAUGUUAUCUUCCCUGUUGAAGGUAUAAUUAGGAUCUUUGUUAACAAAUCAAAACAGCUUUCCCAUUUAGAAAUGCUACCCAAGCUCUUAGCACAAUGCUGAGAACAUAAUACAUGCUUAGCACAUUGACAAAUGAACGAGGUUGGAUUCAAUAACGAAAAAUUCAAGGUAUUAAACUGGAGAAAAAAGAAAUAUUAAGGGAGUCCAAAUAGUAAUGAGCUUCCCAGGUCACAGAGUUGAAGAAAAUUCUCUAGAAAUGUUAGACAACAAAAAUGAAUCAGAAUUAAAACUAUAGCCGUUGCAGUUGUUAUUAGAAAAAAAAAUAUGGAGGCUAGAAAUUGCCUCCUGUAUUAAAGGAUAGAAUAACAAUCUGGUGGAAUGCCCUAGAGCACAGAUUCUGGAUGCAAACUGCUGGUUACAUACAGAUCCUUAGAAUUUUCUUCCAUUCUAUGGGAUCCUGGGCAAGUAGCUUAUUUUCUUCUGUAAAAUAGCCAUAGUAAUAACAUCUGCUUCAGGAUUGUUGGGAGGAUUGAAAGAAGUAGUUUACAUAAAGGGGGCUGGACCAGAGCAAACGUUUAAUAACUGGUACCAUUAUUAUUACCAUUUUUUGGAGAAUAAUAAAACUUGCAGGAAGGUCAUCUCAAUGAGACUUAUAUGCUCUUUGGUUACUGAUUUUUGAAAUUUGACUUCUUUACAAAUGCCAAAGACAGAGAACAGGUUGGGUGAUAGACUCUCUAGUAGCCUAAUAGGGUGUUAGAUUACUUAUAGACCUCUAAAUCCUGUACUGGUACCUUUGCUCUUUCUCAUUUCCCUUAUGAUGCUGUUCCUUUCUGGAGUAACAACCUUGGACCCAGCUGCUGCUUAAGGGGCACAGCCAGGACUAUGAUAUUGGUCCUGCUUCCUCCUUUUCUAUCAAGCCCUGCAAAUGAUAAAGGGAUUUCCUUGCAUGCUUAGGAAAUCUGAGGAUAAAACAACUCUGAGAGGGAAAAUUAGUGUCCCAGAUAACCAAGCAAGGAUUCAGAGGUUAAAACUAAAUUGAAACAUAAAAUUUGCCAAAGAGAAACACAUAGUCUUUUUAUUUACUUUAAGAGUAAAACAAUAUAUUAUUCAAAUGAGAUUGAGAAGAGUGACUCAGUAAUUUAGAGAAUUUUCUUGAUUUCAAGGUCAAGGUGAAACAAUAGUAUGCACUGAUGCCUGGUAUGUUACACAGUACAGUUGACUAUUGCCAUCCAUGCAGGAGUUGGCCAGAACUUCUCAGGUCCUCAGAUCUAAAAUGUCAGUCACUGACAGAGGAAGACUAAGCAGCUAGCUGACUCAUUAGGGAAGUAGCUUACAACUAAACACUGGUCUUCAAAUGCUUGUGCUGUAAUCUGAGCCACACAUUUUAUCUUCAUUAACUCAUUUAAUUAAAGCAGCCUAUAAAAUACAUUAUAUUGUAGUAGCAUGUCAUGAACCUGCUGAUUUCUUUCAAAAAUGAGAAUAAGCAAUAUUCGAUCAGAAGUGCUAAGGUCCUCUGGUCUACUAUUCAGGACAAAGGAUGGAAGAAUCCUAGGACAACCUCUAAAGGGCAGUUCAUACCUAUAAUAUUGCUGUUUAGUUUUGAUGCCCCCACUUAAAGUGAUUGUUGACAAAACAAUUUCGUGAGGGGAGAGCAAUCAGAAUGUUUACUAAGGACUAUGUCAUAAAACAAGGUGUUGACAACUGGAAAAUACUUUGUUUAAAAGUAAAGGAGGCUUGGAAGAAAUAUGAUUGCCUUUUUCAUAUACUUGAACAUCUGUCAUGGAUAGGGGCACUUGGCUUAUUUUAUGUUCCUCCAAGGAAUUGAGCCAGAACAAAGAGGUAUAAGUGUCACUUAUACAGGUUCAAUGUAAGGAAGGACUUCUUAAACUGGAGAUGUCCAAAAUACUAUGGGUGACCUAGAGAGAAAAUGAGCAUUCUUUCUUCAGGAUUGCUUAAGAAGUUACUGAAAGGCUGUGUCUAACCAUGGAUACCAAAAAGCCAUCAAGUGUAAUGUAAGCACAAGAAAUCUGCCACUAGAGACUCUGGUUGCUUUUCCCGGCUCUGUCUGCUGCUUACUAGCUAGGAGAUUGUGAGGAAUUUACUCUAUGAUUUUUGUGUCUCAGUACCCACCUCAUAAAUUCUUAUGGAUGUUCAUAGAUAUAAAGCAAUGUAUACUAAUAACACAGCGUUAGUAUUUUUAAGAUUAUUAGGAAUGCUGUAUAGAGAUUUCUGUAAAAGUACAAAAGCUUUGCUAGAACUCUUUCCCACUUUUUGCUGUACUACGUAACAUACUAGGCAUCAAGGCAUACUAUUGUUUCAUCUUGACCUUGAAAUCAAGACUAUUACUACAAUUACUUAUAAUAGUACAUUCAAACUCUGUUAAACAUUUUAUGUAUGCAUCAUGAGCCUAUCAGACACCAUAUAUCCUUAGACAAGGUCAAUUUGACAUAUUUUACUUCACCACUGUAAAUCCAACCUAGGUAUAAAUGGAGAUGUACAAGCAAAAGGAAAGAGAUAUGCAUACAUUUUAUAAAGCUAAUAUACUGAUAGCUAUUCUGAAAAGACUGGCUUAAAUGUUAAUUUUGGCAAUUUCUAUUGCCCAUUCUAUCUAUGAGUUAUAGUGUACAUAAACAGCAUAAGGUGUUUUAUGUUAAUUCUUGAGAAUGGUUUUUUAAAUUUCAUGUAAGUAAACCAGGCAUAUUGUUAACAAUAUAAUUUGGGCUAAAUUGCACUCUUAGUAAAUUGUGAAUUGUUUAUUAUUCACUAGAAUGCAUUUACCCAGCUAAUGCAGUACUGCAGCUUUUUAAUUAUAUGUUAAUAGUUUAACAGCCAAAGUUAAGUGCUAUUAAUAAAAUGGUAUAACUAAAAGAUCCCAUUUGUAGUGUUCUAUGGUUUUCUUCAACAUUUUAUUAGUAAAGUUGAAAAAUGAGAUGUGACAAAAUGAAAACAAAACAAAAGCAAUUAUUGCACUCGAUAUAAAUGAUGGAAAAUUUGAGUGGUGUGCUCUCAGCUAAAGCAAAGCAAAAUGUAAUGCAGUGCCUGGUCCAUUGGUCUACAACAGCUGAAUGAAUGGUGGUUGAUGAAGAAACAAAUUCUAUUGACAGCUUCAUUCCCUUAAAUUAGAACUCUUGUUCAGGCUGUGUCUAUACAGGUAAAAUAAAGCAGAGAAUUGAUAUUUGUUUGGCAAAUUAAGCAAAAAGAAAAAGAAUACACAUAACAGAUUCCCUCUCUCUAGUUCUCCCAAUCAUAGAAGAUCUAUAUCCAAUUGUUAGAUGUUUUCUACUGUCUUUAUUUUGUGUAUGAAGAGGAUGGCAUAAUCAUAUUACAUAAUGAAGAAGGAAUGUGGCAGUUUUCAAAUCUUUCCUAUCAUGAGUUGAAUGUUCUUGAAUAGUAAGUAUAUCCAUUUUAAUAAAUAAGUGGGAUAAAUGUAGAAUCUAGUACUUAUGGCUAAAAACAUAGUGAUGUGAUUUCAGAGAGGCGAGGACUUAAUGAGAGUAAAUUAAACAUGUUAGAGCAUUUCCUCAACUCAGUGUCAGUCAAUGAUGUGAUUAAAACUCCAAGAACAUGAACAUUCUCCUACCACCCUAGUACCCAGAGGAAGGGCCAUGAGUGCUACCUUACUCAAUACUAGUCAACAUAGCUAGGAGUAUUGGGUCAUAUAGUAGGAAAUGCAGUUUAUGAAAGAUGGAGAUCAAUGGAGAUGGUAAAGCAGAAUGGAGAGGAAUCUCAGAUUAUGUCAAAUGAGUAAUUAUGGGGGAAAUGUGACAAUGGGGAGACAAGCAUGGGACAGUGAUAACUAUGCUCAACUAUCUUAGGGAUAUCAUGAAAAGAUGGAGUGAAUUCAUUUUGUAUCAAGGAUAGACAAUAAGAAAGGCAUAUGUGUGAAAAUCAUAAAAAUGAUUACAAUAGGAAAAUACAUUAAUAUCACAACAUAAUAUGAUGCUUUUCUAGUGGCAACUCCACUAUUUAGAAUUAUUUUAUCAAAACCAUUUCAGAGAGAGAUUGGAUCAAGUUGGCAGAGGAGUCAGAUGUGGGGCUCACCUUCUCCCACAAAUAAAUAAAAAAAAUCUGCAAAUAGAAUGAUCCUCACAGAACAUCCAAUGAAUGCUGGCAGAAGACCUCAGACUUCCAAAAGGGCAAGAAAAUCUCCACAUAACUGGGUAGGAC